rnacentral:rRNA from 1 species
AGUUAAAAAGCUCGUAGUUGGAUUUCUGGCAGGAGCGACCGGUCGCGCACUCUGUGCGUGAACUUGGUUGUCUCUGGCCAUCCUUGGGGAGAUCCUGUUUGGCAUUCAGUUGUCGGGCAGGGGAUACCCAUCGUUUACUGUGAAAAAAUUAGAGUGUUUAAAGCAGGCUUAUGCCGUUGAAUAUAUUAGCAUGGAAUAAUAAGAUAGGACUUUGGAACUAUUUUGUUGGUUUGCGUUACAAAGUAAUGAUUAAUAGGGACAGUUGGGGGUAUUCGUAUUCCGUUGUCAGAGGUGAAAUUCUUGGAUUUCCGGAAGACGAACUACUGCGAAAGCAUUUACC